rnacentral:rRNA from 1 species
UAGUCCACGCCCUAAACGAUGCGAACUCGAUAUUUGCCCUUGUGGGUGAGUGUCCAAGCGAAAGCGUUAAGUUCGCCACCUGGGGAGUACGUCGGCAACGAUGAAACUCAAAGGAAUUGACGGGGGUCCGCACAAGCGGUGGAGCGUGUGGUUUAAUUCGAUGAUACGCGAGGAACCUUACCUAGGCUCGAACGCUAUUUGCCUACUUCUGAAAGGAAGUUUCUCUUCGGAGCGGAUAGUGAGGUGCUGCAUGGUUGUCGUCAGCUCGUGCCGUGAGGUGUUGGGUUAAGUCCCGCAACGAGCGCAACCCUUAUCCUUAGUUGCCAGCACGUAAUGGUGGGGACUCUAGGGAGACUGCCGGCGCAAGCCGUGGGAAGGUGGGGAUGACGUCAAGUCAUCAUGGCCCUUAUGGGCUGGGCUACACACGUGCUACAAUGGUCGGUACAAAGGGUUGCCAACCCGCAAGGGGGAGCGUAAUCCCAUAAAACCGAUCGUAGUCCGGAUCGGAGUCUGCAACUCGACU